CCUACGGGUGGCAGCAGUGAGGAAUAUUGGGCAAUGGACGAGAGUCUGAACCAGCCAAGUAGCGUGAAGGAUGACUGCCCUAUGGGUUGUAAACUUCUUUUAUAAAGGAAUAAAACAAGGCCCGUGUGCCUUUUGGCAUGUACUUUAUGAAUAAGGAUGGGCUAACUCCGUGCCAGAAGCCGCGGUAAUAGGGAGGAUCCGACCGUUAUCCGGUUUAAUUGGGUUUAAAGGGAGCGUAGAUGGGUUGUUAAGUCAGUUGUGAAAGUUUGCGGCUCAACCGUAAAAUUGCAAUUGAUACUGGCAGUCUUGAGUACAGUUGAGGUAGGCGGAAUUCGUGGUGUAGCGGUGAAAUGCUUAGAUAUCACGAAGAACCCCGAUUGCGAAGGCAGCUUACUAAACUGUGACUGACAUUGAUGCUCGAAAGUGUGGGUAUCAAACAGGAUUAGAUACCCUAGUAGUC
rnacentral:rRNA from 1 species